rnacentral:tRNA from 1 species
GCCCGGAUGGCGGAAUCGGUAGACGCAGGGGACUUAAAAUCCCCCGGCCCAAAGCCGUGCCGGUUCGAUUCCGGCUCCGGGCACCA